GGGAUUAUUAUUUUUCAGCCGUGGAAGCACUGCGAAGGAGCAAGAAAGUAGCAAAUUUGCCUUGUCUCUGCAAGUGGCCGCCAUUUGAGUAGCACAUGGCCAAGAAACUGAAUUUUGUUUAUUAUAGCUGUAUUUAAAAUGCUAGAGUGAUUAAUAUCACGUAAUCAUUUGAAACAUUAUGUGGAAAACGUUUACAUGAAUCAACUCUUGUUGGAUAGUAGUAAGGGUUCUGUUGAGCUGAGAAACGUUUCUUGGAAACUCGAAAUAAUAAACUAACCUGGUCUCCCAAUGGCAAUCCAUGCUUGCUACAUUUUAAAAAUGUUAACUGAUGUCCCACCAUCUAUGUUGCUUUCAAUGAAAUGGUUGAUAUUCCACAAAGGGUUUACACGUACAGUUUAAGUACUGACAGGUGACAUGUAAAGUUGAAUUUAUGUGGGGUGAUGACACAAACUUAUGGAGAUUUGCUGUCAAAAAGUUGAUCUCUUCAAUGGAAACAAUUUUAAAACUUUCUGCUACCAGUGUAUUUUUGUUCCUCUACCUGUGAAGGAACAACUGAACUUGAUGUUGCUGUUGUGAUGGAUCUGAUUAUUGAAUCUUUUCAAUGCCAGAGUAUUUUCCUCUUCUCAUUAAGAAAUAACCUAACUUAAUAUUGCAUUGUAGUGGGUUUGGAUUAUUGGUAAGUUUUGCUUUUAUUCUGACAAAUUCUUAUUAGACUGUUAUGGAAGGUUCUUUUUCACAUUUUGGUACUAAAAUAAUUUGGCUCAGCUAUUCCUUAGAUGUAUUUUAUUGUGGCAAAAGGUAAUGUUAUUGUUUGUCUGAGUUCGAAAAAUGGGAAGCGUCACCAACGAUCUGAUCGCUAUCAUUUUCGGUACGGAACUUUAAAAAACCUGUGCUGGUUAAUUUUUGGUUGAAUAUUUUACGUCGAAGACACCUAAAGGAUUGAGGUCUCGCGGUUACGCUAAAAACUGAGAUACGUCCGUGGCAGUGGUUGAAAGCGAGCAACUCGGACGCAUCCAGUUGGCUUCUAGCCCGUUUGUUUCGUGGAUCAUUCGUGUCUAUUAAGGAUUUAGACAAAGAGGACUCACUGCUGGCGGAUAUCAUAACAAUUUUGAAACAUUCAUUAUGAUUCCUCAACUGCAUCUGAUUGUCAGCGUUGUGGAUGAAAUCGUCAUUUCGUUAAACCAGCACAGUGUUUUUGAGCCAAAGGUCACCGGUUUUUCCGUUUAUCCGUUACUUAAAUUUACGGGAUCUGAUUUCAUCGAUCAUGCUUCUUUUUUUCUCUCAGAAGAUAAAGUCUGGUAAAAUCUCCCUAUACCAACAGUUGAGAGAUGAGUCAACACUCUCAAAUGGAUCAUGGUGAUAUUGUAUUGUUCCGAAAACUUUUGAAAUGGGUCACGAAGGAUAUUUAAGUCUGCGCAUGUACAGCGCUCAGGCAAU